GCAAACGGGAUUAGAUACCCUGGUAGUCCACGCUGUAAACGAUGUCGAUUUGGAGGUUGUGCCCUUGAGGCGUGGCUUCCGGAGCUAACGCGUUAAAUCGACCGCCUGGGGAGUACGGCCGCAAGGUUAAAACUCAAAUGAAUUGACGGGGGCCCGCACAAGCGGUGGAGCAUGUGGUUUAGUUCGAUGCAACGCGAAGAACCUUACCUACUCUUGACAUCCAGAGAACUUUCCAGAGAUGGAUUGGUGCCUUCGGGAACUCUGAGACAGGUGCUGCAUGGCUGUCGUCAGCUCGUGUUGUGAAAUGUUGGGUUAAGUCCCGCAACGAGCGCAACCCUUAUCCUUUGUUGCCAGCGGUUCGGCCGGGAACUCAAAGGAGACUGCCAGUGAUAAACUGGAGGAAGGUGGGGAUGACGUCAAGUCAUCAUGGCCCUUACGAGUAGGGCUACACACGUGCUACAAUGGCAUAUACAAAGAGAAGCGACCUCGCGAGAGCAAGCGGACCUCAUAAAGUAUGUCGUAGUCCGGAUUGGAGUCUGCAACUCGACUCCAUGAAGUCGGAAUCGCUAGUAAUCGUAGAUCAGAAUGCUACGGUGAAUACGUUCCCGGGCCUUGUACACACCGCCCGUCACACCAUGGGAGUGGGUUGCAAAGGAAGUAGGUAGCUUAACCUUCGGGAGGGCGCUUACCACUUUGUGAUUCAUGACUGGG
rnacentral:rRNA from 1 species